UCCUGAAAGAAGUCAGCUGCACAGCAAGGAAACCAAAAAGGCUCAAGUGCCUAGGGAGCAUCACGAAGCACCAUGUGGCUCCUGUGGGUCUCUGCUGUCUCUCCUCUCAGGCAAGGGUCUCUGAAAUGAGAGGGAUGUGGCCAGUGUGGGAUGUGGCUCCAGCAAGGGGACGCGUUUGAUGGUGACAAGGAAAGCAAGGACUGUGGCCAGCUCUGGAGGAGCGUGAGAGAAUUCCAACUCUUUCAGUAAGGAGGACUUCUGUGCAUUCAAAGCAUGUGAAGUGGGGAACACCUGCUAUGUCAGCUGGUACUAAUGGAGAGAGGAACCUAUACUUCAGUUACUUAUGUGCUAUAAAAUGUCCCACUUGUGUUCUUUAAAGCUGCUUAAUUACAUUAACAGAAGGUCCUUUCCACAUUCUCCAGUUCAGGCAAACACAUCCACUUCACUGCA